UUCAAUGAUACGGUGGGGAGCGGGGAGGGGACAUUAGUACAUGUCCAAAUUGUUCCUCUUGCCCUUUACUAACCUCCCCAAAUCCAGUGAUUAAAUGUCAUUAAAACAGUAAGAUCCAUUUGUGUAGGCGACACAGCAGAAGGCAGGAAUAUUAGUCCACCAGGGCCAGUUUGCAGUCCAUGUGCUUGCUUAUGUGAGCUCACAGGGGAGGUAUUCUGUGAGUGGUAAAGUCAUGGGUAUGGCAAAUAUAUAAAUUAAGAUAUAUAUUUAUUUAUUUAUUUAUAUAUAAAACAAAGUGCACUCUUUUUAGCUACAUAUAAAGCAAGCAUAUAAAGCCUAUAAGUAUCCAGUGGAACUCGACAAUUCUGGUUUGCUUUAAUAAUCAACGUAUGGCAUCUUUUGUCACUUUUUGCUAAAAAAAUGGCAUCCUUAUUUCAUAUGCAGAGUGUGCUUAAUAUUAGAGAGUCAGGCUCAGUUUACAUAUGGAGAACAGUGUAUAGGCAGAAACACAGAAACUCUGUGUGUGCACCAAGUGUCACACCUUUCACAUGCUUUGCAUGUGUGGUUGCAGAGGUUAGUUAGCAAUAGCUGAGUGUAAGCUAUAAGCGUGUGUGUGUGUGUGUGUGUGUGUGUGUGUGUGUGUGUGUGUGUGUGGGUGCAAUCAUGGUUAGAGCAGGGCAGUGUCCUGAGCUGACACCUGCCAACCACACGGCUGUGCAAACAAGCAACAGGUGGCCUCACCCAGGGCAGACAUUUGACAAUUUUACAGCAGAUAACAUAGUGCUUUUACUUGUUCUAGAAUGACGCAUGUUUUAAAACUGAUAAAGAGUUUUUACCCUUGUAGAUAACUGUGCACAAUCAAACUAUAUAAACAGUAUUGAUUCAAAAAGCAUCAUAAAUAAUUAUUGCCAGUGUACAUUGCUAAAUGCUUUUUAGACGAUGAACAAAAUUGUGCACAAAACAACUAUCCAAACUUUACAAAGAGAGCAAUUGUUGUAAACUGCAGCUGCAUCUGUAAGAAGAAAGAAAGCAGAACAGUCCACGUGAAGGGGGAAAAUGCGUAUAGGACUGUCUUGGCUGCUCCCUUUUUGUUUCUGAUUCAAACUUCCAGAGUAGUUGCAGCUGGCACAUAUGACCCACUCCCCUCAUUAGAUACCCAUGUGUAUUGAUGGGAACCCCUCUACCCCCUGGUAAGUUUACCCCCACUCUAACAAUCUCUGGGUGCUUUAGAAACAGUCAGAGCUCUUCUUGAAAUGCUGCCAACAGGGGCUGGCCCUAAGCCGGCGCAGCUGAAACUUUUACAAGCUCCCUGCUUGCAAAGGCAGGAAGGCAAAGACAUGGUGAGAGAUUUGUGAAGGCAGUCUCUCUCUUUCUCUCUCUCUCUCUCUCUGUUUCUCUCACUCACUCUCUCUUUCUGCUAUCGUUACUGCCUCUGUUGUUCUCAUUUCUUUUAACCAUAAACUUUUGGAGUGGACUACUGUUAACUGUGGAAAGGCUUUUCUCCAGUAUUUUUUGUGAUGGGGGUAGAGUGUAUACGUGUUGGCUGCAGAGGGGAGGAGCUGAGGAGUACAGUGGGGAGAGCAAAAUAAAUGAACAUACAACAAAAGCGAACGAAGGGGGCCGUGACAUCACACACUGAGCUGUCCUGGACAAUGCCUGAGAUGCGGACUAUGGACGGCAAGCACCUCACUCGCUUUUUAUUUAACUAUCUCAGCACAUUUGUCUCAGGAAUAGGGCAAAGCACUCCUUUUUGCUAGUCACACUGGAUUAUUUCAGUGACACUUCUCUCUCUUGGCCAGCUGGCAGCAUGGGCUCUGAACCCCUUUCUCGCCACAGCUGAAAAGGAUUCGUCAAAGGCACAGCAUACUCCUGGAAUCAGUGUUUUUAAGAAAAACAAAUGAAUUGCACUCUUAACCUUCUUGCAAACUCAGCUUAUUAGUGUCCUAAAAAAACGAGGCCAAAAGUUGGACUGUGGACUGGCGGAUUCUCUUUCACCUACAAAAGUCGUACAUUUGGAUUGUUUUGUAAUUUUUUUAAACAGAAAAGAUGUCUUUCCUAAAUUAAAGCAUAUAUAACUGCACUUGUGCUAACCAAAAUAAUAUUUAACCAUUAUUUCUAUGAAAGCGCGAAUACGAUAAGGGAAAUUCGCUCGGAAAGCACAGGCAUCACCAGGGCAGCUAAAGACGCUGCAAUGACUUCUGUAGAAGGGGAACAGAGAGGCAUGUACUACCUGGGACGAAUGCCAAAUGCUGACAAAAGACUUCACCACACUCUCUCUCUCUCUCUCUCUCUCUCUCUCUCUCUCUGGGAGAAAUCAUAGUUCUUUAUUCUAAGGGUGGCUUAAAUCACUGGCAUUAUCUCUUAAUUCGAACCUGCUCACAGAACAGAAGUCAAAGCUUGUGUAAGUAUGCUGAUAUGAUUCUCUACAUAGUUGUGUUUUUCGCAACAAACGUGCUUGUUUUUUUUUUUUUUUUUGUACUUUUUUGUCAACUGUCAAAAGUGCUCAUGGUGGGAUGUGUCAAGAUUUGUUGUUUUGCUGAUUUUGGAGGGAAUCCAUUCUCCCUCCAUGCCUAAGGGCCCUGGCAGUCGAGCGUCGUAUAAUGUUUGAGAUGAAAUGGUGAAGGAAACCCUACUUUGCCUGGCAACUCUUGCAAAGACUUUGCUCUCUCUCACCCAAAAGGAAGCACGUCCUCUAAAAAUAUUACUACCCCAAAUUAUUUCAUCUUCCCUUCUCGCACUGCUGUGACCUCAUGCUGUCUCUUUCCCAUUAGUUUCUUGGCAUCAUGCUUGAAGUAGGCAGGGAGAUAGGAGGGCAUGGCUGCAGAGUGUUACUGCUGGCUUGGUUAGGUUCUCUUGCUUUCGCCUUUUUUCUCUGUCCUCUUUCGCCAGCUAAUUAUCAAGACACAGAAAUAAUCUUUAAUUUCCCUCUUCUUCUACCUCCUCCUUCCCUGUCUACCCACCCGCCCAUCGUGCUCCCUAGCCCUUGGCCCGAAUUGCUGUGUCGUCCAGCAGAAUUCAUACUCAGGUAUUUCCCACUUUUCAAUCAGUUCGGACACUGUUUUCCUAACAAUUAACUUUCUGCUUUUUUACAAGUGUUCCCUUUUUCUCGCUUUUGUGCUCAUUCUGGCUUCUUUCGUCCUCAUUGUCCGCCUGUACACGUGUCUGCCUUCCCUCCGUCGCCAUUGCUACCACAUCCACCAUUAUGGUGCGGUCUGAUUUAAGAAUUACUCUCUACUAACGUGAGAUAUGUUAGCACUCGACCGUACUCGAGAAAUCGAAGACUUCGCGCCAUCUGAUAACGAAAGAAACUUCAUCAGAUUUCAUCAUGUCUGUGUUUGUCGUGUAUUCACAGCCAGGCUGAGCUCAGUCAUAUCAUGCAACUUGUUUGUAUGAUGGCGGCCAACAAAGCGCUUUACAAAGAUAAAGUAAAUGAAUGUAUAUAGUUUAUUAGACCAAGCAGCAAAAGAAUUGGGCUGCUUUUACAGUAAAUUGCAUAGUAGCAACCUUAAAAAACAAAAGGUAAGUGGCUUUUGACUUAUAAACAACAACAACGCUGACAGGAUAAAAGUAUCUAUAACAUACUCUAUUUCUCUUGACACUGAGAGCUUUUAAGGUAAUCUUUCUUCUCCAGCUGAUAUUUAACUUUUAUUGUAGAAUGAAUUCUAUUGUAGAAUAAGUUCUUCCAAUGCAAGAGCAACUUUGGAAAACAAUAUUUGAACAGAUUUAUAACCAAAAACAGCUUUAAAAAAAAGUAACAAGAAGCUAUGAAUUAAUUAGAUUUAUAUUGAUCUAUUCUUUAACAUAAAGAAGAUGCUUUCGAACGAUUGAUGUCUAUAUAGUAGUUUUGUUGCUUUCCCUACCGCUGCAUUACAUGCAUACAAAAACGUUAUCACUUAAGCCAUAUAUACAUACAAUAACAAGUUUUUAUGUACACAUCCAUUAAAUCCACAUAUGUUUGUCAUUAAAAUGCCUAUUCCUAUUUCACAUAUGUCUGUAUAAUAUAUAAAAUGCAUAUUUUUACUGCACGGUUUGUGUGAACAAGUGGCCUUUCCGUAGUUCUGCUCACCUACUUAACAGAUUACAAGUACGUUUUGUAUAGCACAUAACAGAAAUAACUACCUCGUGCAGUUUUUUCGUAGCAUAAAUAAAGGAUCAGUCUGCCGACCAUUACAAUGCUAUCACAAAGCAAGAGAAAAAUGGGCGUAUAAUGUUGUUCAAAAAUCGGAGAUGGAGAGAGCAGGAGAAAUAAAGGGCGGGGUGACAGGCAGAAAAUGAGAAGGAUUUCCCCUCCCCUCUGCUAUCCUCAGAUGAACUUGUCGUGUUACUUCAUGAUAUUUUCUUUCAGGCCUGCCAUCUCUACUUCCUGCUAUUUUUGUGUCCCCUCCUCCCCCCUCCCUCUUUCUUUCUUUCUUUCUUUCUUUCUCCCUCUGUCUUUGACUAUUAGCGGCAUGGUAACCAGGAAUAAAGUCGCACUUCCUUUAUCAGGAAACACAUUUCAGCUAUGGAGUUUGAUUAAAAGCGCACCGAAUUACAUCCAUUUUAUUUUGCCUACGUGAAACGAUUUAUGAGUGUUGUGCUGGUGUGAAAGCUACUGUCCUUAAGGCUGAGGUAGUAGAUUGAAUAGUUGUGGGGUAUUAAUCCUCUCUCUGAGAUAACUAUACAAUCUACUGUCUUUCCUAAGGAGACAGUCUGAUCAACCCCCAGCUCGUUGAUGACUGGACAUCAGGGUGAAUCAACAUCUACUCAUGGAGCUUUAAUUUAAAAAAAGAAAGUACAUUCUUAUUGCUGGAAUUGGUUGUAUUGUCUGUUGUUAAGUAAUUAAAUGAUUAGAAAUUUUAAUUCAGGUAAUGUGUUGCCACAAGAUGAGGUAGUAGGUUGUAUAGUUUGUGGGAAUCAUCACAUCCUAUUGAGGUGAUAACUAUACAGUCUAUUGCCUUCCUUGUGAGACACAAUGACAUGGAGAAAGUCUUCAGCAGUUGAUUUCUUCAUAAUGGCCAAAGAAUUAGACUAGUCUACUGAAUUGAUAGUAUUCCAAUGUAAAAUAUUUGCCCAGCCAUAUUAAAAUGCAAUGAUCUUUCUUUAGACCACUUUGUACUUGUGCUAUGUAACUGUUUUUUUUUUUCCUCCAGCACCUUUAUAAAAUAAAAUGUUGAAUCAG